UCUACCUUUUAAAGGAGGCUGUUGUGUUUUCUGUUGCGAAGGUUGUUGUGUUUUCUGUUGCGAAGAUUGUUGUGUUUUCUGUUGCGAAGGUUGUUGUGUUUUCUGUUGCGAAGGUUGUUGUGUUUUCUGUUGCGAAGGUUGUUGUGUUUUCUGUUGCGAAGGUUGUUGUGUUUUCUG